rnacentral:rRNA from 1 species
UACGAAGGGUGCAAGCGUUACUCGGAAUUACUGGGCGUAAAGCGUGCGUAGGCGGUUUGUUAAGUCUGUCGUGAAAGCCCCGGGCUCAACCUGGGAAUGGCGAUGGAAACUGGCGAGCUAGAGUACGGUAGAGGAGAGUGGAAUUCCUGGUGUAGCGGUGAAAUGCGCAGAUAUCAGGAAGAACACCAAUGGCGAAAGCAGCUCUCUGGGACGGUACUGACGCUGAGACGCGAAAGCGUGGGGAGCGAACAGG